GGCAACCCCGCAGCCGUGACGUCUUUGAGGUCACCGAUCCCCGGCCCCAUCCGGCGCGGCCGGAGCGGGUGCGGGCCGUGUCCCCGGGGAGAAGCGGGACUGGAGCGGCCUCCAGGGGCCCGGCCCUGCUCUCCCGCUGCGGCGGGGGCGCAGGGGACCCGCCAGCCUCCCUCCCGCGCCCGGGGCAGUGCGUACCUCCGCUCCGGCCCGAUCCCGGUCCCAGGGCCGCCGCCAGGUGUGGGCGGCCGCGGCCGCCGCUGCCCCGGGGGGGACGCUGGCCCCGGUGGCGGAGCUGUGCCCGCGCCGCCCCGCCGCGCAUCCCCCUGCCCGCGCUGCCGAGCGGCCCCAGGCGGGAGCUCCCCGCGGCGAGCCGAGCACGGAGCGGCCCCGCCGCAGCGCCGGCGCCUCCGAGCGCGACGAGCACCGGGGCGGCUCCGCCGGCGGCCCCUGGCGGCGGCGGCCCGCAGCGCCGCACGGCCCGGUACGGCCCGGCCCCGGUGUGGACCCGUGCCGCUCUCUGUGGCGGUCUCUGCUCCAGACUCCCGAGGUGAGACCCGCCUUUGGCUGAGGGUGGUACAAGCAAUUCAGUUCGUGCUCUGUGCUGGCUUCAGCGCAAAACUGAUGAUUCCAACGAUGCCAUGGAUAUGUAAUCUUGCAAUCGGUGACGGUCACAGUAGCCACUUGCUUGCUUUCCCCCACCUUGGCUUGCUGGCAGUGUGCACUCAGUCUGACUUCAGAGCCACAGGGCAGCAAACCCUGGCCAGGAGGUCCCAUGGCUCUUGGUGUUGGGCCGGAGAGCACCAGGGAGAACAGACGAGAGUUUCACGAAGGGCAGCUUCUAAUAUGCUGUCAUUCAGUGCUGGAUGUCAGCCAGUUCUCCAUCAGGCUGCAUGUAAAAUCUUGUUUGUCCUGGCAUUGAACUGCUUUUUCUUAUUGCAGAAAAGCUAUUCUGGAUCUACCAGAAUGAAAGUGAAAGUGUCAAGUACUCAGCUGAGAAUUGGAGAAUGGAAGAUACUGUCAGCCUGCGUUUUUUACCUGUGGAAGAGGAUGACAUUCUAUCAAAGCAGAACAACCCCCUUCUUGGUCUGUAAUAUUAUCACAAAACAUUCCCCUACUUCUGACAUUGGAGGAGGAAAACCAAACUCAUGUUUGGGUAGGGAGAGUGGCAACUCAGAAAGUGUCAUGGUAACAUGUCCAUGGAUCCAGUGUAGCUGCCUUGGUGUUUGCUGCUAA
rnacentral:lncRNA from 1 species